rnacentral:rRNA from 1 species
CGAAAGCCUGACGGAGCAACGCCGCGUGAGGGAUGAAGGCCUCUGGGCUGUAAACCUCUUUUCUCAAGGAAGAAGAUCUGACGGUACUUGAGGAAUAAGCCACGGCUAAUUCCGUGCCAGCAGCCGCGGUAAUACGGGAGUGGCAAGCGUUAUCCGGAAUUAUUGGGCGUAAAGCGUCCGCAGGCGGCCUUGUAAGUCUGCCGUUAAAGCGUGGAGCUCAACUCCAUUUCAGCGGUGGAAACUACAAGGCUUGAGUGUGGUAGGGGCAGAGGGAAUUCCCGGUGUAGCGGUGAAAUGCGUAGAUAUCGGGAAGAACACCAGUGGCGAAAGCGCUCUGCUGGGCCAUAACUGACGCUCAUGGACGAAAGCCAGGGGAGCG